UAGGGAAUCUUCCGCAAUGGACGCAAGUCUGACGGAGCAACGCCGCGUGAGUGAAGAAGGAUUUCGGUUCGUAAAACUCUGUUGUUAGAGAAGAACAGCGCAUAGAGUAACUGUUAUGCGUGUGACGGUAUCUAACCAGAAAGCCACGGCUAACUACGUUCCAGCAGCCGCGGUAAUACGUAGGUGGCAAGCGUUGUCCGGAUUUAUUGGGCGUAAAGCGAGCGCAGGCGGUCAAUUAAGUCUGAUGUGAAAGCCCCCGGCUCAACCGGGGAGGGUCAUUGGAAACUGGUUGACUUGAGUGCAGAAGAGGAGAGUGGAAUUCCAUGUGUAACGGUGAAAUGCGUAGAUAUAUGGAGGAACACCAGUGGCGAAGGCGACUCUCUGGUCUGUAACUGACGCUGAGGCUCGAAAGCGUGGGUAGCAAACAGG
rnacentral:rRNA from 1 species